ensembl:lncRNA
GUGAAUGGCACGUGGUGUACAAUUUAGGCGAUAGGGAACGAUUCAGUAAAUAUGCUUUUGAUUGGGGCAAAUGGGGUCUGGUUUCAUGUUGUGUCACGCGAACUGCAGCAGUGCACACAGUUUGAUCCGGACUUUGGCUCUGGCCCAGAGACUUGAAUGCACAGAGCGGAUCAUAUGGCUAUAGGUCAGUAUGGUGGAAUUCAGAUAUGAAGAUCACAUGCAAAUUAGACCUGACCUGAGCGUACAGUGAUAAUCUGCCGCAUUCAAAUAUCAGGAGAUCUCACAACCUGCCUCCUUUGAAGCCUCUCUCUUCGUAUGAUCAAAGAACACAUAGCACUGCCUGAAUGUUUCGUGGUAGAUGAGGGUACAGGCACCUGCUUUAUGGCUCUCAACGGAAAUUACUGCCAUCCCUUCCUACACAACACAUCUCUGACUCUUCUAUUAUUGUAUGUUCUUGUCUCAUAAUAAGCCUUUCCCUGCCAAACAGCUCCUGUUUAGAGGAAAUGAACUAGAUUUUGCUUACAAGGUCAAAUCCAGUCAUUAUAUUUCUAACUGUACAAUAGCACAAAUCUCAUAUGAGACAAAUGUCUGGCAAUCUUCUCUCUUGCUCCUCUGUUACUGGUACGUUUCUUCUAAUUUGACCACUUUUUGCAUUGUUUGAAUGCAAUGGAAUCACUUGUGAUCUUUUGUGUACAUAUGACUGGUAUGCGAAUGUUUUUGCGUACUAGAAUUGUGUGUUAGCUGGUUAUGUAAUUUUAGUAGUGUUUGAAUUGUAAAAUUAUGCAUUUAUAAAGCACAAGUACACUGUAAUAUAUAUAAAUUUAAUAGUAAUUUUCCUUUUUGAUUUGUUUUAGGUUAAAAAAAAACAAUCUCAACAUACAGUUACUUAAGAAGCAACACUGCAUAAAAUAUUAAUACUUGUUUUUAUAAACUGUAUAUUGAAUGCUG